rnacentral:rRNA from 1 species
CACGUAGGGUCCAAGCGUUGUCCGGAUUUAUUGGGCGUAAAGAGCUCGUAGGCGGCUUGGUAAGUCGAGUGUGAAAACUCUGGGCUCAACUCAGAGACGCCACUCGAUACUGCCAUGGCUUGAGUCCGGUAGGGGAGUGUGGAAUUCCCGGUGUAGCGGUGAAAUGCGCAGAUAUCGGGAGGAACACCAGUAGCGAAGGCGGCACUCUGGGGCCGGAACUGACGCUGAGGAGCGAAAGCGUGGGGAGCGAACAGG